rnacentral:misc_RNA from 1 species
AAGUCGUAACAAGGUUUCCGUAGGUGAACCUGCGGAAGGAUCAUUAACACGUAUCCAACGUUAAACCCCCCGUGAACCUUUAUUGUGCUCGUCUGCCCUGUUGGAAAGCGGCAAUCCCUGGUAAAUCAUCGCCGAACAGUUUUGAUUCAGGGACCGCCGGGCUAUACGCUCCUUUAUCACCUUUGCAUGAAAACGGGCCUGCGCUUAAUUGUGCGGCCAUAAACCGAACAACUGUUAACAAUGGAUAUCUUGGUUCUC